GUUAAGGUAACUAGAAAUAAUUUUAUUGGUUAUUUGGGAUAAUUUACUUGGUUCAUCAUAUUCGUCUUCUGUCCAAAAAUUCAGGUACAGUUCUUUUAUGA
rnacentral:sRNA from 1 species